UACGGAGGGUGCAAGCGUUAUCCGGAUUCACUGGGUUUAAAGGGUGCGUAGGUGGGUUGGUAAGUCAGUGGUGAAAUCCCCGAGCUUAACUUGGGAACUGCCAUUGAUACUAUCAGUCUUGAAUACCGUGGAGGUUAGCGGAAUAUGUCAUGUAGCGGUGAAAUGCUUAGAUAUGACAUAGAACACCAAUUGCGAAGGCAGCUUACUACACAGUGAUUGACACUGAGGCACGAAAGCGUUGGGGAUCAAACAGGG
rnacentral:rRNA from 1 species